UGACCUCGGAUCAGGUAGGAAUACCCGCUGAACUUAAGCAUAUAUAAGCCCCGAGGGAA
rnacentral:rRNA from 1 species